UCGGAGCAGAGUGCUCCAGCCAGCCAUUAAGGAUCGAUGUUUUAAUGUUCAACAACUGGCAACUCUUCGCGUGCUGCAGCGUCCACCCGGCACCAUCGGCUCCCCAGCCUCGCUUUUCCGCGGGCAGCGGGGGCGAGCGGCCCACGCAGGGGGAACCGGUUUUCUCCCAGUCCCGGUGUCCCGACUCCCGAAGUCAGGUCGGCCAGGCCGACCGCGGAGGAGAAACCAGGACCCGGCGACCCCCGUACAUCCCCGGCCAACCGCGCCGCCCGCGACUUAAGCAACUCAGCGACCCAGGCCGUGCGGGCCGCCAGCAAUAGAACAUUAACGAAGGCAGAAGUUGGUACCAGGAGUGGGGUGUUAUGACCAGCCUGCCCGUGUUUCUUUGUGGAAUAUGGACUUUGGAACUUGGGAUCGGAAGUGCUCUGCGCUCCGUCAUUAACCCUGUGAAAAGAGUUCUUUCCAGAUAAGCAGACACUUGGGGCUGUGGGGAGUGGAUACUGGUCCCAGUUUGCUACCAGCAAUCCCAACUCAAGACACAGCUCCGGACCAUGAGCAAAUGCCUCUGGAGAGCUUGGACACAAUCAAAUCACUUUUCGAGGGGCACUGUAGGGAUGGCGAUAGAUUUCUACACAGGAACGCUCAUCCCAAGAAGGCACGGAGGCAGUAUAAGGUGCAGGAAGGAAGUGGGCACGCUAGACAGAAAAGUCUCUCCGAACUUGUCUUCCCAGGAGAAAGGCUACAGGCUGAGUUUUAACUGCCCAACCAUCCGGGCACCUUUGCUUCUGUUAACCCUUUAAAGCGAAGGAAACAAAACCUACUAAAGGAUUAAUUUUAGGCCACAAAAGGUAACUUGCCAAACAAUCACAAAAGAACUGUUUGCAAGUGUUCUGUGUACCCUUCCUCUGUGCCCUCUGAUGUUCAGCCAGCCACCCUGAAGCCACCAGAAGUCACGACCAGUGUACACACGCGCACACACACACAGACACCUUGUAUGUGUGGGUCCCAAUGCCAGGCCUCAUUAAUAUUCAGACUUUUCCCAUUCUUCUCCUGCAG
ensembl:lncRNA